rnacentral:lncRNA from 1 species
AUGGUGUUUAACUUAAUUUCAGCCCCUCCCCUCCUGGGCUGCUCGCUGGGCAGGAACCCUGCAGGGGGCGGGCCCCUGUGCCCAGCCUUGCCCUUCACUACUUCUGCAGCCUCCAGCCCUCGAGGGCCCUUUCGUCCCAGUCCCCAGUUCCCAGAAGCCCCCGAACUGCUUGCCUUGAGCUUCUUGCUCGGGCACAGCCGGCGCCCAGUUCAGAGCAGCACACGCCCACCACAAGGUCCAUUCCCGCACUCCAGCAGGGCUGGGAGCGUGGUGGGCAGCCAGGUCUGCCACACGUGUGAGCUGUGGGCACCCCUGGACUGGGACCUGGCCCCCUGGGGCACAAGUGCCUGGCCACACCCCCCCUUCAAGGGUGAGCGCCCUGGCCUGCACUCCGAGGGCGGGGCCCUGCAGCCAAGGAAGGAGGCUUUUGUGCUGAGGCCCCCCAGGCUCCUGCAGGCUCCCCGUGGAGCCAGGCAGGGAGCCCACAGACCAGUGGAGGGGGCCAGUGUGGCCGCCUCCCUCCUGCUGGCUUCCUCGCCUGUGUUACAUGGCCCCUGGCCGCUGAGUUCCCUCGGAGCUUGGAUGCCAUGGGCUAUUGGGCCACCCCACCUCACCGGCCACAUUGCCCCGGCUCCUCCCCCACAGCCCUGGGCCCAAACUUUCCAACCUUUUUGUUUGUUUAGUUUUAAUUUCAUCUGCUUGAAAGGCAGAGUGACAGAGGAUCUCCUUCCACCUAUGGCUCACGCCCCAGAUGCCUGCAAUGGCCAGGGCUGGGCCAGGCCAAAGCCAAGAGCCAGGAGCUCCAUCCAGGUCUCCAUGGGGGCAGCAGGGGCCCAAGCGCUCGAGCCAUCUGUGCCUUCCCCGGGUGUGCAUCCGCAGGAAAUCGCGCUGGAAGUGGUGCAUCUGGGACUCCAGCGCGCUCUGGUGCGGGGUGUGGGCCUCGCAGGCAGCCCCUUCCUUCAGCACCCAGGAGUUUGGCAAGGCCCCUGGGCUGCCCCACACCUCUGCCAGGCCUCUCACUGUCUCCUGCCAGUGCUGGCCGUGUGUCCAACUGCUGGAGGUGACUUUGUAAAGCUCGGGCAUGGCCCGGCCAGCCCCUGCCCUGACCCCACCAUGGCCCCGGGGUCGUCAUGA